rnacentral:misc_RNA from 1 species
ACUGAUUUUCCUGCCAAAGCCAGAUACCCCUUGUCCAAGCUUUUUAACUUGUUUCACCUGGGCAAGGAUUUGACCCUCCCCUAGCACAACAGAGUUGAGUCCAGAAGCUACUUCAAAUAGGUGUCUUGUGGCAUCUCUGUUAUACAAUAUAAACUGGUGCUGGCAAAGCUCAGAAACAGGAAUCCCACUAAUCUUAGACAUCCACUCAGUCACUUCUUUAACCACACGAUGCUGAGACAAAGCCACAACAUAUAUUUCCAUUCGGUUGCAAGUACUAAGAACAGCAGCUUCUUCUAUAUGAUUAAGAGAACUAAGCUCAUUAAUGGCCUGAGGCCACUGGGCUUCUGGAAUGGCAAGUUUCUCCCGUAUUUCAACUGGUGCAGUGUGCACAUUAAGCCCUAUUACAGCAAUGCUGCUCCUUUCCUUUGUAUAUCUAUCAAUCCCAGAUGCCUUGAGUUGUUCAAGAGCGAUAAUAUUGGACUUCUUGGACUCAGCCUUAUCACUUGGAUUCAAAUUCUGAGAAACAACCUCACACCUCAAAGAAAGAGCUCGAUGAAAAACCAGCGACUUCCUCUCUCCCCCCUUCUUGGAAAUCUCGUAGAAGAAUUGCGAUCCGGAACAAAAAGGCGAAGAAGAGGAAGGCAAAGAGACAGUAGAGGAGCUCGAUUGCAUUUGCCUAUAAGCAACAGAUGAUGCAGCGAAAGGGGCUCCCGCCAUUGAGACAAGACGAGAGAGAAGAUGAGAGGUUGAGAAAUCUAAAUCCCUAAAUUAUUGGGAGGUAGGAAGGGGUUGGGGUUGGGUUGUGUUUGGG